rnacentral:lncRNA from 1 species
CCCCACCCGGUGAAACCCGGUGCUCUGAAAUGAGUCAUAUAGCCACACCUCACUAUAAGGGAAGACUGAAAUUCAGACCUGCACUUGGGAAGCAUGUAUCCAUCAAUGGGGAGGUGGGGUCCUCCACCCAAGGUGUAGAGACUGGAGAUUGGGGACAGCUAGCCAUGGCAGGAGAAGCUCACGGUGAGAUUGUGAUGUGGGCAGGUGACUCCAUGGGUCUCACACACGUGCAGCUGUGGUGUUUUACGGGCUGAAAGUCUUCAGUGGUUUUGUAAUGGGCUCUCAUCCUAAGAAUGUCUGCACAACAAAUAGUCUUGGAAGAUGGAGAACGGCAUCUCUUCUGGGGUGAACGCUGGCUUGUUUAGGAUCAUGACAUGUAUGCACACCAGGUGGACACCUGUAAUCCCUGUACUUGAGAGGGUCAGAAAACCAUGGGCAGCCCCAGCUACUGACGGCAGACAGAGUGUGCCUCCCAAGAGCCCUUCUAAAAUACAGAAGCCGCCACCACACCGCCAGCCUAGCAGCAGAGUCCUCCGGUGUCACCAAGCCACUGGUGAGAGGCAGUCUGGCUAAUUAUGAAGGAGUUGGUAAACCGCCUGCAUCCAUUUUUCUGUCGAAUGCCUGCACAUCCCAGCUGGUGACUCAGCGAGGGUUGCUCCCGAGGCUUGUUCCAAAGCACACUGGGAGUUGUUGGGCAAAUAUUUGAACAGACUUUCUAUCUGAAACGAUCCGUUCAGCUGCAGAGCCUACAACCCCUUGCUGUCAGCAGCUCUUUCAGCCCCUGUUAUAGCCAACCCCUGAUGAGGCUGAAAACCAUUGAGCAACUAAUUCCACACGGGACUGGCUCUCCAGAAAAUGUCACCAUUGAGGGGAGGGGAAAGGAAAGAUAACCAGAGGUCUAGAGUACCCCCGCUUCCACUCAGAGGGCUCCCUUUAUCUCCUGUGGUCUGCUUGCAUGGUUAUUCUGUGUUCAGAGGGAACUGAGUAUAUGAUUAAUUCUUAAUUUGGAGUGAGUCAGACCUGGGUGUGAAUUCUAGUUUCCCCAUCUACAAAGUGCUAAUUACAAACGUGCCUUCUUCCCGGGAGCUAGAGAGAGUUAGUGAGGCAAGAGGACAGUGCUGGGCAUGUCCCUUAACAGGGCCUCGGAGGGAUCCCUCCACUCCAUUCCCCUCCGACCUUGCCCUGGGGAAAGGUUCAGUAGAGCAGAGGCGCUGCCUGUCUGUGUGGAGGAGAGAGAUGGGUUUCUCUAUGAGCUGCCCACCUAAAAGAAGACUCCAUGGGAGACUCGGGGGAUUUCCUGUAAUUUUUACUCUCAAUGUUCUAUUUAUAAAGCUUAGUCACUGCCGUUGUUUCGCAGCCACUUGGCGUGUGGAGACAGGUCAUAAUCAGAAACGGGCUCACAGGAGACUCGGUCUCACCCGCAGGCUUUGGGGGAGUCUGGGUCCAGCUCAGGAGACUUGCUGGACUGGGUGGCUCAUCUUUCCAUUGGCCAGCCACACCCUGCUCUUACAUAUUCAAAUGAGAGCGGCCUCUCUUCAAGGGUUCCUUACAGGCUGUGGUGAGGCCCAUCUUGGUGGGAGAUCCUCAGGCCUUGGCACAGAGUAUGGUCCAAAGGCAUCUUUUUCUUCCUGCAGCAAGAACAGACUUGCCGGAGCCUCUCUACUCAUCCCUGUCUCCAUAAAAAAAAGGCAGGUUCUCCCAGGAGGUUCAGAGCUCCAAAGCCGGCGUGCAGAAAUAGUUGAAAACAAUUAAGGUGCAAAAACCGAGAAUUGAGCUGAAUCCAGCAAAGCUCAGCUACACUUUUCUGCUCCUGUUUGAUCCAGGGCAGAGCCACAAGGGAGAACAAAGCCCCCUGCUAAGGUCCCAAUUUCACAGCCACUCUGCUAGCCACUGAAAUCAGGCUCUGUAAUCAGGGCUGGUAAACCAUUUCCUGUCUCCAAUGUUCCCAGAACACUGUGCAUGGCAGAGGUAGCCCCAUUUGCUGUUUUUCGUGGGGACAUGGAGCUUUAAAACCACAGAAGGCUUACUUCUUAGCUGCAUUUUCUCUUUAAACAAGGUGAUCAAUUCGCCUGCAUAAGGUUCUUAACCAGUUUCUCUUGGGAACCAGUACUGGAAACCUCCUUGGUUUGAUGCUGACUUCCAAGGCUCUGAGGUGUACAGAGUUCGGAUCUGGAGAUGUUCCCCAGCUUGAGAAGCUUUGGGAUCAUAAUCCCAACAGUAAGGUAGCUUCUGUUGGAGCUGGGCCUCUCUUAGCCAGUGAGUGAGGGCUGAGGUGGGGUGACUGUCAUGACCCAAGACUGUGUCUUGUGCCAGGGCUCCUCCAUGGCUUACAUUAGAGAUUUGAUGGUCCCAGGGAUUUCUUUGGAUGACACUGCUGGACCAAGGGUCAUCUGGCCCAUUCUCUGGAGCAUCAGGCCCCUUUACCAUCUAUUGUCUCAGCUGCCUUUCAAGUCCCAGGCUGACCACAGUCUUGGCCUAAGUCCCCCUCAGUCCCUAUUCUGUUCUCUUUCCUCUAGCUUCCUUCUUUCUGUAUUUCUCCACCUCUUUCCAUUCAUAGGACUUUAGGCCCUCUUUUCUCUAUCCCUGUGUUUUGUGGCCUGACAGUAAGUCUCCAAAAGCCACAUAGAACCCACAUCGGUUUACAGAGGCCUAGAGAUUUUCCACUUCUCAGUGAGUCACACUUCCCCUAGUUCUCACCACCAACCAGCACAGAGGUUGGGGGAUGGGGUAUACUUCUGAUAACAGCAGUAAAAACAAAGUAUCCAUC